AGAACGAACGCUGGCGGCAGGCCUAACACAUGCAAGUCGAACGCCCCGCAAGGGGAGUGGCAGACGGGUGAGUAACACGUGGGAACCUUCCUAUUAGUAUGGAAUAGACCAGGGAAACUUGGAUUAAUACCGUAUACGCCCUAAGGGGGAAAGAUUUAUCGCUAAUAGAUGGGCCCGCGUAAGAUUAGCUAGUUGGUGAGGUAAUGGCUCACCAAGGCUACGAUCUUUAGCUGGUUUGAGAGAAUGAUCAGCCACACUGGAACUGAGACACGGUCCAGACUCCUACGGGAGGCAGCAGUGGGGAAUAUUGGACAAUGGGCGCAAGCCUGAUCCAGCCAUGCCGCGUGAGUGAUGAAGGCCUUCGGGUUGUAAAGCUCUUUAGUAGAGAAAAUAAUGAUGGUAUCUACAGAAAAGCCCGGCUAACUCGCGCCAGCAGCCGC
rnacentral:rRNA from 1 species